rnacentral:rRNA from 1 species
GUGGGGAAUCUUCCGCAAUGGACGAAAGUCUGACGGAGCAACGCCGCGUGAGUGAAGAAGGUUUUCGGAUCGUAAAGCUCUGUCUUAAAGGACGAACGUGCUUAUUGUGAAUAAUGAUAAGCAAUGACGGUACUUUAGGAGGAAGCCACGGCUAACUACGUGCCAGCAGCCGCGGUAAUACGUAGGUGGCGAGCGUUGUCCGGAAUUAUUGGGCGUAAAGGGCGCGUAGGCGGGAUAUUAAGUCUGUCUUAAAAGUGCAGGGCUCAACCCUGUGAGGGGACAGAAACUAUUAUUCUUGAGUGCAGGAGAGGAAAGUGGAAUUCCCAGUGUAGCGGUGAAAUGCGUAGAUAUUGGGAGGAACACCAGUGGCGAAGGCGACUUUCUGGACUGUGUCUGACGCUGAGGCGCGAAAGCCAGGGGAGCGAACGGGAUUAGAAACCCGGGUAGUCC